GUGUCAGCAGCCGCGGUAAGACGAACCGUGCAAACGUUGUUCGGAAUCACUGGGCUUAAAGGGCGCGUAGGCGGGUCUCCCAGUCUGUGGUGAAAGCCCCCGGCUCAACCGGGGAAGUGCCGUGGAUACUGGAGACCUCGAGGAGGGUAGGGGCAUCUGGAACGGUCGGUGGAGCGGUGAAAUGCGUUGAUAUCGACCGGAACUCCGGUGGCGAAGGCGAGGUGCUGGACCCUUUCUGACGCUGAGGCGCGAAAGCCAGGGGAGCAAACGGGAUUAGAAACCCCGGUAGUCC
rnacentral:rRNA from 1 species